AAUGCGGUUUGUAAUUAAAGUAUCAAGAACAUGGCAUUGAAUGUGGUCGCGGAAAUCAAACGAACUGUCAACCCAAAUGCUUGCGCUGUUUAUGGCAGAGUGCCAUCGGUCGGGAUGGAUUGGACAAGAAUCACAUUUUGCACGGACGUGAAUAAAUCUGUGAUUGUACAUAACUUCGAGUAACGCGGCUGGACGCAGGUUGGUCCGGAAGAUGAUUGAAACUUUUACUGGGUCGUUACGCUAUCCUGCAGGAGUAUCUACGUUGAAACUGGGUACAGGAGAAAUGGUAAUCAGUAAGAUCUUCCAACCGGAGAUGUUCAUUAUUAAUAAUGAAAUUUAAAAUCGUGUUUAAAAAUUUACUACUUUAAAGUGUAUUUAAAAAAAAUAAACAGACUGUGCGUGUUUUAAAUUUUAAAUUCUUCA